rnacentral:rRNA from 1 species
UAGGGAAUCUUCGGCAAUGGGGGGAACCCUGACCGAGCAACGCCGCGUGAGUGAAGAAGGUUUUCGGAUCGUAAAGCUCUGUUGUUAAGGAAGAACGAGUGUGAGAAUGGAAAGUUCAUGCUGUGACGGUACUUAACCAGAAAGGGACGGCUAACUACGUGCCAGCAGCCGCGGUAAUACGUAGGUCCCGAGCGUUGUCCGGAUUUAUUGGGCGUAAAGCGAGCGCAGGCGGUCAAUUAAGUCUGAUGUGAAAGCCCUCGGCUCAACCGGGGAGGGUCAUUGGAAACUGGUUGACUUGAGUGCAGAAGAGGAGAGUGGAAUUCCAUGUGUAGCGGUGAAAUGCGUAGAUAUAUGGAGGAACACCAGUGGCGAAGGCGACUCUCUGGUCUGUAACUGACGCUGAGGCUCGAAAGCGUGGGUAGCAAACAGG